rnacentral:rRNA from 1 species
GGAGGGUGCAAGCGUUAUUCGGAAUCACUGGGCGUAAAGAGCGCGUAGGCGGUUUCUAAAGUCAGAUGUGAAAGCCCGGGGCUCAACCCCGGAAGUGCAUUUGAAACUUAGGGACUUGAGUAUGGGAGAGGGAAGUGGAAUUCCUGGUGUAGCGGUGAAAUGCGUAGAUAUCAGGAGGAACACCGGUGGCGAAGGCGACUUCCUGGACCAAUACUGACGCUGAGGCGCGAAGGCGUGGGGAGCAAACAGGAUUAGAUACCCUGGUAGUCCACGCAGUAAACGUUGAACACUAGGUGUAGCGGGUAUUGACCCCCUGCUGUGCCGCAGCUAACGCAUUAAGUGUUCCGCCUGGGGAGUACGGCCGCAAGGCUA